rnacentral:rRNA from 1 species
UACGUAGGGUGCGAGCGUUAAUCGGAAUUACUGGGCGUAAAGUGUGCGCAGGCGGCGCCGCAAGUCGAGUGUGAAAUCCCCGAGCUUAACUUGGGAAUUGCGCUCGAAACUACGGUGCUGGAGUGUGGCAGAGGGAGGUGGAAUUCCACGUGUAGCGGUGAAAUGCGUAGAGAUGUGGAGGUACACCGAUGGCGAAGGCAGCCUCCUGGGCCAACACUGACGCUCAUGCACGAAAGCGUGGGGAGCAAACAGG